rnacentral:rRNA from 1 species
GCAGCCAUGCCGCGUGUAUGAAGAAGGCCUUCGGGUUGUAAAGUACUUUCAGCAGUGAGGAAGGUGKUGUCGUUAAUAGCGGCAUCAUUUGACGUUAGCUGCAGAAGAAGCACCGGCUAACUCCGUGCCAGCAGCCGCGGUAAUACGGAGGGUGCGAGCGUUAAUCGGAAUUACUGGGCGUAAAGCGCAUGCAGGUGGUUUGUUAAGUCAGAUGUGAAAGCCCGGGGCUCAACCUCGGAAUUGCAUUUGAAACUGGCAGACUAGAGUACUGUAGAGGGGGGUAGAAUUUCAGGUGUAGCGGUGAAAUGCGUAGAGAUCUGAAGGAAUACCGGUGGCGAAGGCGGCCCCCUGGACAGAUACUGACACUCAGAUGCGAAAGCGUGGGGAGCAAACAGGAUUAGAUACCCUGGUAGUCCACGCCGUAAACGAUGUCUACUUGGAGGUUGUGGCCUUGAGCCGUGGCUUUCGGAGCUAACGCGUUAAGUAGACCGCCUGGGGAGUACGGUCGCAAGAUUAAAACUCAAAUGAAUUGACGGGGGCCCGCACAAGCGGUGGAGCAUGUGGUUUAAUKSGAUGCAACGCGAAGAACCUUACCUACUCUUGAC